rnacentral:rRNA from 1 species
GACGAACGCUGGCGGCGUGCUUAACACAUGCAAGUCGAACGGAAAGGCCCUGCUUUUGUGGGGUGCUCGAGUGGCGAACGGGUGAGUAACACGUGAGUAACCUGCCCUUGACUUUGGGAUAACUUCAGGAAACUGGGGCUAAUACCGGAUAGGAGCUCCUGCUGCAUGGUGGGGGUUGGAAAGUUUCGGCGGUUGGGGAUGGACUCGCGGCUUAUCAGCUUGUUGGUGGGGUAGUGGAUUACCAAGGCUUUGACGGGUAGCCGGCCUGAGAGGGUGACCAGCCACAUUGGGACUAAGAGACGGCGCAGAAUCCUACGGGAGGCAGCAGUGGGGAAUAUUGCACAAUGGGCGGAAGCCUGAUGCAGCAACGCCGCGUGCGGGAUGACGGCCUUCGGGUUGUAAACCGCUUUCGCCUGUGACGAAGCGUGAGUGACGGUAAUGGGUAAAGAAGCACCGGCUAACUACGUG